UGACAGAUGGUCGAGAGUCAAGUGCACUUGGCUUCACCAAAAUGUUCCGGGUUCGAUCCCCGGUCAUGUCAG
rnacentral:tRNA from 1 species